UGAAUUUCUUGGAAGAAAUUUUUUGCCAUGCAUUUAUGAGAGCCAAUUUUGUUGAAAAUGGAUGGAUAUGCAUUUAAUGAGGAAGGUGAAAUUUUUCCUAUAAAUUGGAGCCAAAGUAGGAGGAAAAAGGUGUGCCAAAACGUGAGCAAAAGGGAAGUGCAAGAAAAUCAUGUAGAGUGAAAACACGCGAGAUAGUGAGCAAGCACAAAGUGAGAAGCAGUUAGGCUUUCGUUUGUGCAGGAAAUUAACGAGAGAAAAUUGAGAGAUUGUCUUUGCGUAGGCAAAUAAAAUACAGAGAGUGUAUUUGUUGUAUUUCUUUUAUUCUCUUAUUGAUACAGUAAAAGAAUUGGUGUGUGUUUGUGGACGUAUGCACUAUUGUCGAAUCACGUAAAUUCUUGUGUCACUUGCACUUAUUAUUUUUUGCUACAUUUAUUUCUUCUCAGUUCAAAUUAUUUUUGCAUUCCACUGAUCCUGGCAGAAUUAGUAGCGGUCUAAUUUCCUAAUAUUAAUCAUGUCCGAAACAAAACACAAUAAAUAAUAAAUACUUUCUUUUUCCCCAACUUACAUAAGCAUCAUAUCAUACUGAUGAAAUCUGCUCAUUUGGUGGCACAAGUCCUAUUGAACUAUGUGCAUUUGACAAAUCCGCUCACUCCUCAUGCAAUUUUUUGGCACCAAAUUACUUGACUGAUUAGCUAAACAAUCCGUUGGUAAUGUUGCAAAGACUGGCGAAUCUGUUUACACUCUAAAGGCGACCCAGGGAAGAAUUAACAGAGCAAUUUCGGAAUCUCUCAACGGGAGAAUCAUAAGUGCUAGUGAAGAUGGUGUAAUACGUAUUUUGAAUUUUGAGGUUAGAAAAUGAAUGUUCUCAUUUUGAUUGGUGUCUUAUGAUUUCUCUCUACCCUUUUUAGAGAGAAAAAUAACAUGUAAUAAAUGCUAUCUGUUGAAGAUUUUGGCUUGCAUUAAAUGUUUACUAGCUUAUCAGCACCUUGAGCUAUAUCUUUCUGAGUUCAUGCUAUAUUGCCUUUUGUUUUCUUAGUGGGAGAAUCAAAAUGAUUGCAAGCUUGUCACACAUAGUUGAACGAGUUUUGCAUUCACA
rnacentral:lncRNA from 1 species